rnacentral:rRNA from 1 species
UGGGGAAUAUUGGACAAUGGGCGGAAGCCUGAUCCAGCCAUGCCGCGUGUGUGAAGAAGGCCUUUUGGUUGUAAAGCACUUUAAGCGAGGAGGAGGCUACUUGGAUUAAUACUCUAGGAUAGUGGACGUUACUCGCAGAAUAAGCACCGGCUAACUCUGUGCCAGCAGCCGCGGUAAUACAGAGGGUGCGAGCGUUAAUCGGAUUUACUGGGCGUAAAGCGUGCGUAGGCGGCUUCUUAAGUCGGAUGUGAAAUCCUGAGCUUAACUUAGGAAUUGCAUUCGAUACUGGGAAGCUAGAGUAUGGGAGAGGAUGGUAGAAUUCCAGGUGUAGCGGUGAAAUGCGUAGAGAUCUGGAGGAAUACCGAUGGCGAAGGCAGCCAUCUGGCCUAAUACUGACGCUGAGGUACGAAAGCAUGGGGAGCAAACAGG